rnacentral:rRNA from 1 species
GACGAACCGUGCGAACGUUAUUCGGAAUCACUGGGCUUAAAGCGCGUGUAGGCGGGCCGGCACGUCGAUGGCUGAAAUCCCCCGGCUCAACCGGGGAAGUGGCCUCGAUACGACCGGCCUGGAGGGGGGUAGGGGGCGCCGGAACUUCCGGUGGAGCGGUGAAAUGCGUUGAGAUCGGAAGGAACGCCCGUGGCGAAAGCGGGCGCCUGGACCACACCUGACGCUGAGACGCGAAAGCCAGGGGAGCGAACGGG